rnacentral:rRNA from 1 species
CCAUCUUGACAGUAGAUCACUCGGCUCGUGUGUCAAUGCAGACCGCAGCCAACUGUUUGAAUAAAUGUGCAUCGGAACUCGCUUAGAUUAUCGACCUUUGGACGCAUAUUGCACCCAUUAGCCUGUCUGUGGCUACGUCUGGCCUAGGAUCU